rnacentral:rRNA from 1 species
UACGGAGGGGACUAGCGUUGUUCGGAAUUACUGGGCGUAAAGCGCACGUAGGCGGAUUUGUUAGUCAGGGGUGAAAUCCCGAGGCUCAACCUCGGAACUGCCUUUGAUACUGCAAAUCUCGAGUCCGGAAGAGGUGAGUGGAAUUCCUAGUGUAGAGGUGAAAUUCGUAGAUAUUAGGAAGAACACCAGUGGCGAAGGCGGCUCACUGGUCCGGUACUGACGCUGAGGUGCGAAAGCGUGGGAGCAAACAGGG